ensembl:lncRNA
UAGAUUAAAAAAAUGAAUGAAUAUUUAUUCAGAAAUGUGCCAAUAAACACUAAAAGACAACAAUAAAAAACCUAAACCCAAAAUGCUAUAAGAAUUAUCACUGAACUUUAAGAUUCAGCAUGCUAGCUAUGCUUUAGCAGACAAAUUAUCAGAUAUAUUUGAGAUAAAUAAGCAAGUAGUGUGCGGUAAGUAAACCAAAACAUCAAACUUAAAUAAUUAUACUAUAUAUAUAUUCGCAUUUUACUUACUGAGUUAGUGGCAUAAGGUGUGGUUCAGAUUUAUGAUACGAAGGGGUGCGGUUUACAAAAAAAGGCUAAUUCCCAUUGGUCGCUGCCUGUUAGUGUAGCAGCGCUACCUGAAGCAGGUAGGCAAAUAAAGACAGACCUGAGAAAGAGGAUUCACACUGCCUGCUCAUCAUGACUGGACUCAAGAGCACACUGGGACCAACUAAAAACGUUCAAGACCUUCAUACUAAAGGUUUAGGCCUUUUUGUUUUUGCAAGGUUUAACAGAAAACAAUUUCUGACUUUUUGUUUGUUUAGCACCAAGUUGGAUCUAACUCUAUGAGCAAGGUACAGAAGAGCUGCGGAAGCCAAAAUGCGGUUUUAUCUGCUCUGUGAAUUCUAUCCUUCAUUCCACCGGAGUCUGUGUAGAUGUGCAAUCAGAUUUCAGUGGUGUGAAGUGUAGGAGACAUGGAAAGAUCACUUUUUCCACUUUUUCCUGUUUCGUGUUAUCAGAAAAACAGCACAGUUAUAAGCGCACAGCGACAGUUCCACACAACAUGGCAUGUUUGUUCAUUUGCUGUUGUGGAGAGAGCCAAGGCGGGCUAGGUACACACACACCCACACAUAGCAGACUCACAAAGCCUGCCAAGAUGUAUUUAUGUAUGCUGGUUCAGCCUUUAUCCUCUCAACCAACACUAAUAAACUCACUUUACAAAAUGUGUUUGUGUGAAUUGCUUUAUCCUGACAAUAAACUACUAUAAUAAAACAUAACCCUUACUCAUUCCCCUGGCAUUUGUAGUAUGAAUGUUGCGGUUUAUGAAUUUCAAUUAGUCCACCAAAUAUGUGACUUGCUCUUUGCAUGCAUACGGUGAGGUCGAAAUGAUGUUAAUCUUGGGAAUGAUUUCACAAAAAGCCAAGCUGAGGUGAAGUAAGUUCAAAGCAAGGCAAGUGCAGGGCGAGACACACUCAGCUUUACAGUGGCCUUUAAAGUUCAUCAACCCUCAAUGCAAAGGAAACUUCUUUUGAGCAGUUUAGUUGAUUUCCCUUGUGAAACUGCUCCUCAAAAAUGAAAAAUAAAUGCAAAGUUUGAGAUUCGCCUCA